rnacentral:rRNA from 1 species
UACGUAGGGUGCGAGCGUUAAUCGGAAUUACUGGGCGUAAAGCGUGCGCAGGCGGUUUUGUAAGCCAGAUGUGAAAUCCCCGGGCUUAACCUGGGAAUUGCAUUUCAAACUGGCCGACUAGAGUACGGUAGAGGGAGGUAGAAUUUCCUGUGUAGCGGUGAAAUGCGUAGAUAUAGGAAGGAAUACCAGUGGCGAAGGCGGCCUCCUGGAUCGAUACUGACGCUGAGGCGCGAAAGCGUGGGGAGCAAACAGG